rnacentral:rRNA from 1 species
UACGUAGGGACCAAGCGUUGUUCGGAUUUACUGGGCGGAAAGGGCGCGUAGGCGGCAAUUCAAGUCAUCUGUGAAAUCUCCGGGCUUAACUCGGAACGGUCAGAUGAUACUGCUUUGCUCGAGUGCGGAAGGGGCAAUCGGAAUUCUUGGUGUAGCGGUGAAAUGCGUAGAUAUCAAGAGGAACACCUGAGGUGAAGCCGGGUUGCUGGGCCGACACUGACGCUGAAGCGCGAAAGCCAGGGGAGCAAACGGG